rnacentral:rRNA from 1 species
UAACGCGUGGAUAACCUGCCUCAUACAGGGGGAUAACAGUUAGAAAUGACUGCUAAUACCGCAUAAGCACACGGGAGCGCAUGCUCCUGAGUGAAAAGCUCCGGCGGUAUGAGAUGGAUCCGCGUCUGAUUAGCUGGUUGGCGGGGUAACGGCCCACCAAGGCGACGAUCAGUAGCCGACCUGAGAGGGUGGCCGGCCACAUUGGGACUGAGACACGGCCCAAACUCCUACGGAAGGCAGCAG